rnacentral:tRNA from 1 species
AGCUUUAUAUUCAAUAAUGAUGUAAAAUUGCAAAUUUUAAGGAAUAAUAACAAUAUAUUAUUAAGGCUU